UGGGGAAUUGUUCGCAAUGGGCGCAAGCCUGACGACGCAACGCCGCGUGGAGGAUGAAGAUUUUCGGAUCGUAAACUCCUGUCGAAUGGGACGAAUAGCUCGGCCGCUAAUAACGGCUGGGAAUGACGGUACCGUGAGAGGAAGCCCCGGCUAACUCCGUGCCAGCAGCCGCGGUAAUACGGGGGGGGCAAGCGUUGUUCGGAAUUACUGGGCGUAAAGGGCUCGUAGGUGGCCAUCUAAGUCAGACGUGAAAUCCCUCGGCUCAACCGGGGAACUGCGUCUGAUACUGGGCGGCUUGAAUUCGGGAGAGGGACGUGGAAUUCCAGGUGUAGCGGUGAAAUGCGUAGAUAUCUGGAGGAACACCGGUGGCGAAGGCGGCGUCCUGGACCGAUAUUGACACUGAGGAGCGAAAGCCAGGGGAGCAAACG
rnacentral:rRNA from 1 species